UGCUUUGUACAACAAUUGGUGGCCAAUGCUAACAGUAAUAAUGUAUGUGGUUCUACCUAUGCCCUUAAUUUUUUUGGCUGGCUCGGAUACUUCAUCUCUCUUCUCUGAAUCUCAAAGUGGCUGGGCAGACGUGACCAAAUUCUUAACUGG